CCUACGGGAGGCAGCAGUGAGGAAUAUUGGUCAAUGGGCGCGAGCCUGAACCAGCCAAGUAGCGUGAAGGAUGACUGCCCUACGUGUUGUAAACUUCUUUUAUAAAGGAAUAAAGUCAGGCACGUGUGCCUUUUUGUAUGUACUUUAUGAAUAAGCAUCGGCUAACUCCGUGCCAGCAGCCGCGGUAAUACGGAGGAUCCGAGCGUUAUCCGGAUUUAUUGGGUUUAAAGGGAGCGUAGACGGGUUGUUAAGUCAGUUGUGAAAGUUUGGGGCUCAACCGUAAAAUUGCAGUUGAUACUGGCAGUCUUGAGUACGGGUGAGGUAGGCGGAAUUCGUGGUGUAGCGGUGAAAUGCUUAGAUAUCACGAAGAACCCCGAUUGCGAAGGCAGCGUACUAAACUGACACUGACAUUGAGGCUCGAAAGUGUGGGUAUCAAACAGGAUUAGAUACCCGAGUAGUC
rnacentral:rRNA from 1 species